rnacentral:tRNA from 1 species
GGUCGUGGAGCUCACUGGUUAAGAGCCCUGGCUUCUAUUGCAGAGGACCUGGGUUCAAAUCCCAGCACUUACA